CACAUGAACUUUUCACCCAAUAUUUUUCCUAUAAAAGGGCUGGUGAUAAAAGUUGGCUGGCCGAAUCCCUGUCGGGCAACCAAACUUAACUCUGUCGGGCUCGCUAAAUUAAUGACCUUAAUUCCCGGUCCACCAGCACAGAUAACCUCACACCUGAGAAGUUGGCUUUCCACCGGUGGAAUCCAAUGUAAUAUAGAAUGCUAUAUCAUGCCCU
rnacentral:lncRNA from 1 species